CAAUAGCGUAUAUUAAAGUUGUUGCGGUAAAAAAGCUCGUAGUUGGAUUUCUACCGAAGAUAGCCGGUCGGGUCUUCGACCUUGUAUCUGGUUUUGUCUUUGGUAUCCUCAUAGGGAACGUUUCUGCGCUUUAUUGCGUGGUGCGGUAUCUAUGACUUUUACUUUGAGGAAAUUAGAGUGUUCACGGCAGGCAAACGCCUUGAAUAUAUUAGCAUGGAAUAAUAACAUAGGAUCUUCGUCCUAUUUUGUUGGUUUCUAGGGCUAAGAUAAUGAUUAAUAGGGAUAAUUGGGGACAUCUGUAUCAACGCGUCAGAGGUGGAAUUCUUGGAUUGCGUUGCGACAAACUACUGCGAAAGCAUUUGCCAAGGAUGUUUUCAUUGA
rnacentral:rRNA from 1 species